rnacentral:lncRNA from 14 species
AGAGUGACUGAAAACUCAUGUGUUCCUCACUGAGACUGACUGUUGGAAUCAAAACCAUUAUUUUAAAUGGAAAAGAUCCAGAGAACUUGAAAUUUAACUGGGAAACUGCAGAAAUAAAUUAAGGGAGCCCAAGCAAAAUCUCUGCAGAGAGUUCUGGAUGUGGAUCCUCUACUGACAGAAUAAAAAGGAAUAUAGCACAGGUUUUUGCAGAAAACAUUGCCUCAGAUGUCUGAUGCCUGCACAAUCUCUUUUUGCCUCUCUCCUGGAUCAACAGUACUUUUCAGUCAGACUCAUUUUAUUGAGCUCUGCCUGGGGUAGUUAAAAAAGAUUUGAAGAAAAAGCAAUGUAAAAUGAAAUCUGGUGGUUCUGUAAGAAAUGCAUCACCUGGGCCACAAUGGAUUCGAGGGACUACUGAGCACUGCAUGCUGGGAAAAGCAAAUAAUCUGCAAAGGGGUCAUUUGCUAAUUGCAGCAUUUUCCACUGACUACGUGGAAGAGGAAAGAAUUGCAGUUACUGCACUGGAGAUACUGAUGUGCAAGGAAGAAUAUCUCCACAGAAGAGAAGAAUUAUAUGGAAUUACCUGGAAAGGCGCUCAUGGCAAGUGCCAUCUGGAAACACGUGUCAGAGAAGAUCCCAAGACAACUUAUACACUUUUCCAGGCCAUGUGAGCAGUGCCUAUGGGCAGCGUGAGUGCUAUCACAGGAAUGGAGCCUGGUGUCUUAGGCAUGAAUUGUGACAUGGCACAGAAGAGACUUUUAAACAGAGGCAAGCACCUUGGCUCUGAACAUGAUCAAAAGCAACAAAGUGAGCUGCUUCUGUAACAGCUUCUGUAGCAGAGGUAUUGUUACUCUGGUCUGUGGCAGCAGAUGAUCUGGAUCUGUGCAGGACACUGUCAGCUAUUCUUUUGGAGAUGUACCUUUCCUUCUAGUGCUGCAUUCAGAAGAU